AUUGAACGCUGGCGGCAGGCCUAACACAUGCAAGUCGAGCGGAUGAAGGGAGCUUGCUCCUGGAUUCAGCGGCGGACGGGUGAGUAAUGCCUAGGAAUCUGCCUGGUAGGGGGGGAUAACGUCCGGAAACGGGCGCUAAUACCGCAUACGUCCUGAGGGAGAAAGUGGGGGAUCUUCGGACCUCACGCGAUCAGAUGAGCCUAGGUCGGUUUAGCUAGUUGGUGGGGUAAAGGCCUACCAAGGCGACGAUCCGUAACUGGUCUGGUGGGAUGAUCAGUCACUCUGAAGCUGAGCCGCGGUCCUGGCUCCUACGGGAGGCAGCGGUGGGGACUGUUGGCCACUGGGCGAAAGCCUGCUCCAGCCGUGCCGCGUGUGUGAAGAAGCUCUUCGGAUUGUAAGGCACUUUACGUUGGGAGGAAGGGCAGUGAGUUAAUACCUGGCUGUUUUGCCGUUACCAACAGAAUAGGCACCGGCUAACUUCGU
rnacentral:rRNA from 1 species